rnacentral:rRNA from 1 species
AUUGAACGCUGGCGGCAGGCUUAACACAUGCAAGUCGAGCGAGCGGCGGACGGGUGAGUAAUGUCUGGGAAACUGCCUGAUGGAGGGGGAUAACUACUGGAACCGGUAGCUAAUACCGCAUACCAUCAGAUGUGCCCAGAUGGGAUUAGCGAGUAGGUGGGGUAAUGGCUCACCUAGGCGACGAUCCCUAGAUGGUCUGAGAGGAUGAACAGCCACACUGGAACUGAGACACGGGCCAGACUCCUACGGGAGGUAGCAGUGGGGAAGAUUGCACAAUUGGCGCAAGCCUGAUGCAUCCAUACCGCGUGUGUGAAGAAGGCCUUCGGGUUGUACAGCACUUUCAGCGAGGAGGCGUUACUCGCAGAAGAAGCACCGGCUAACUCCGUGCCAGCAGACGCGGUAAUUC